rnacentral:lncRNA from 1 species
GGGGGUGGGGAUUUUGUUUAUUUAUUUGAGUCAGAAUUUUGCCGCGCAAACGUUUUAUUACGGUUUUUUUUCGAUGCUGGUAAUCAAUUUUUUUUUCUUCAACAUUUAACACUAUAAUGUAUGGGGAAACUCUUGAUUCAGAAUAUUUUUUAUCAUCUGUAGGACCAGAAUUGUUUUCUUUAUCCAAUUGGGGUUCGGAAUAUUUCCAUCCCCCCUAUUUAGAGUCAAAUGGUCGUUCCCUUACUGCUAGAAAAAUUG